rnacentral:rRNA from 1 species
UACGGGGGGGGCAAGCGUUGUUCGGAAUUACUAGGCGUAAAGGGCUCGUAGGCGGCCAACUAAGUCAGACGUGAAAUCCCCAGGCUCAACCUGGGAACUGCGUCUGAUACUGGAUGGCUUGAAUUCGGGAGAGGGAUGCAGAAUUCCAGGUGUAGCGGUGAAAUGCGUAGAUAUCUGGAGGAAUACCGGUGGCGAAGGCGGCAUCCUGGACCGACAUUGACGCUGAUGAGCGAAAGCUAGGGGAGCAAACGGG